rnacentral:other from 1 species
AAACCUCUGCCCUGCUCGUGGAAUUCGGCCCAUUUAAACCCACAAUUUUACCUUGGGUCAGCCAGAUCGCUUCGUGGUUUGCAGGCCUCCCGAUUCUCGGAUGUUGGAAGCAGUAAAGCGAAGGUGAGGCGUCCCACCUGCAGUCUUCGUGCAGGUUAUAUUUGGGCCCCACGGCAUGGGCGGAGAAAGU